rnacentral:tRNA from 1 species
CGGAAAGUAGCUCAGUUUGGCAGAGCACCGCGUUUGGGACGCGGGGGUCGCAAGUUCAAGUCUUGUCUUUCCGA